UAAGUUAAUAAGGGCGCACGGUGGAUGCCUUGGCACUAGGAGCCGACGAAGGACGUGACAAACGACGAUAUGCCUUGGGUAGCUGUAAGUAAGCGAUGAUCCAGGGAUUUCCGAAUGGGGGAACCCAACAGGUAAUACCUGUUACCUACAUCUGUUAAGGAUGUGAGGAGGAAGACGCAGUGAACUGAAACAUCUAAGUAGCUGCAGGAAGAGAAAGCAAAAGCGAUUGCCUUAGUAGCGGCGAGCGAAACGGCAGAAGGGCAAACCGAAGAGUUUACUCUUCGGGGUUGUAGGACUGCAAUGUGGACUCAAAGAUUAUAGAAGAAUGAUUUGGGAAGAUCAGCCAAAGAGAGUAAUAGCCUCGUAUUUAAAAUAGUCUUUGUACUUAGCAGUAUCCUGAGUACGGCGGGACACGUGAAAUCCCGUCGGAAUCUGGGAGGACCAUCUCCCAACCCUAAAUACUCCCUAGUGACCGAUAGUGAACCAGUACCGUGAGGGAAAGGUGAAAAGCACCCCGGGAGGGGAGUGAAAUAGAACCUGAAACCGUGUGCCUACAACAAGUUCGAGCCCGUUAAUGGGUGAGAGCGUGCCUUUUGUAGAAUGAACCGGCGAGUUACGUUAUGAUGCGAGGUUAAGUUGAAGAGACGGAGCCGUAGGGAAACCGAGUCUGAAUAGGGCGCCUUAGUAUCAUGACGUAGACCCGAAACCAUGUGACCUACCCAUGAGCAGGUUGAAGGUGCGGUAAGACGCACUGGAGGACCGAACCAGGGCACGUUGAAAGUGCUUGGAUGACUUGUGGGUAGCGGAGAAAUUCCAAACGAACUUGGAGAUAGCUGGUUCUCUCCGAAAUAGCUUUAGGGCUAGCGUCGACAUUAGAGAUUCUUGGAGGUAGAGCACUGUUUGGGUGAGGGGUCCAUCCCGGAUUACCAAUCUCAGAUAAACUCCGAAUGCCAAUGAAUUAUGGUCGGCAGUCAGACUGCGAGUGCUAAGAUCCGUAGUCGAAAGGGAAACAGCCCAGACCACCAGCUAAGGUCCCAAAAUAAUUGUUAAGUGGAAAAGGAUGUGGGGUUGCACAGACAACUAGGAUGUUAGCUUAGAAGCAGCUAUUCAUUCAAAGAGUGCGUAAUAGCUCACUAGUCGAGUGACCCUGCGCCGAAAAUGUACCGGGGCUAAAACAAUUUACCGAAGCUGUGGAUACCUUUAUAGGUAUGGUAGGAGAGCGUUCUAUGUGUGAUGAAGGUAUACCGUGAGGAGUGCUGGAACGCAUAGAAGUGAGAAUGCCGGUAUGAGUAGCGAAAGACAGGUGAGAAUCCUGUCCACCGUAAGACUAAGGUUUCCAGGGGAAGGCUCGUCCGCCCUGGGUUAGUCGGGACCUAAGGAGAGACCGAAAGGUGUAUCCGAUGGACAACAGGUUGAUAUUCCUGUACUAGAGUAUGUAGUGAUGGAGGGACGCAGUAGGCUAACUAAAGCAGACGAUUGGAAGAGUCUGUCUAAGCAGUGAGGUGUGAAUUGAGUCAAAUGCUUAAUUCUAUAACAUUGAGCUGUGAUGGGGAGCGAAGUUUAGUAGCGAAGUUAGUGACGUCACACUGCCAAGAAAAGCUUCUAGCGUUUAAACAUACUCUACCCGUACCGCAAACCGACACAGGUAGUCGAGGCGAGUAGCCUCAGGUGAGCGAGAGAACUCUCGUUAAGGAACUCGGCAAAAUGACCCCGUAACUUCGGGAGAAGGGGUGCUGACUUUAAGUCAGCCGCAGUGAAUAGGCCCAAGCAACUGUUUAUCAAAAACACAGCUCUCUGCUAAAUCGUAAGAUGAUGUAUAGGGGGUGACGCCUGCCCGGUGCUGGAAGGUUAAGAGGAGUGCUUAGCGUAAGCGAAGGUAUGAAUUGAAGCCCCAGUAAACGGCGGCCGUAACUAUAACGGUCCUAAGGUAGCGAAAUUCCUUGUCGGGUAAGUUCCGACCCGCACGAAAGGCGUAAUGAUUUGGGCACUGUCUCAACGAGAGACUCGGUGAAAUUUUAGUACCUGUGAAGAUGCAGGUUACCCGCGACAGGACGGAAAGACCCCAUGGAGCUUUACUGCAGUUUGAUAUUGAGUGUCUGUACCACAUGUACAGGAUAGGUAGGAGUCUAAGAGAUCGGGACGCCAGUUUCGAAGGAGACGCUGUUGGGAUACUACCCUUGUGUUAUGGCCACUCUAACCCAGAUAGGUGAUCCCUAUCGGAGACAGUGUCUGACGGGCAGUUUGACUGGGGCGGUCGCCUCCUAAAAGGUAACGGAGGCGCCCAAAGGUUCCCUCAGAAUGGUUGGAAAUCAUUCGCAGAGUGUAAAGGUAUAAGGGAGCUUGACUGCGAGAGCUACAACUCGAGCAGGGACGAAAGUCGGGCUUAGUGAUCCGGUGGUUCCGUAUGGAAGGGCCAUCGCUCAACGGAUAAAAGCUACCCUGGGGAUAACAGGCUUAUCUCCCCCAAGAGUUCACAUCGACGGGGAGGUUUGGCACCUCGAUGUCGGCUCGUCGCAUCCUGGGGCUGUAGUCGGUCCCAAGGGUUGGGCUGUUCGCCCAUUAAAGCGGCACGCGAGCUGGGUUCAGAACGUCGUGAGACAGUUCGGUCCCUAUCCGUCGCGGGCGUAGGAAAUUUGAGAGGAUCUGCUCCUAGUACGAGAGGACCAGAGUGGACUUACCGCUGGUGUACCAGUUGUCUUGCCAAAGGCAUCGCUGGGUAGCUAUGUAGGGAAGGGAUAAACGCUGAAAGCAUCUAAGUGUGAAACCCACCUCAAGAUGAGAUUUCCCAUGAUUAUAUAUCAGUAAGAGCCCUGAGAGAUGAUCAGGUAGAUAGGUUAGAAGUGGAAGUGUGGCGACACAUGUAGCGGACUAAUACUAAUAGCUCGAGGACUUAUCCA
rnacentral:rRNA from 1 species